GGGUGCGUAGUACACUGGCAGUAUGGCUGCCUCCAGAGCAGCAGAAGGGGGUUCGAUUCCCUCCGUGCCCA
rnacentral:tRNA from 1 species